rnacentral:rRNA from 1 species
CCUACGGGUGGCAGCAGUGAGGAAUAUUGGUCAAUGGGCGGGAGCCUGAACCAGCCAAGCCGCGUGAGGGAAGAAGGUACAGCGUAUCGUAAACCUCUUUUGUCAGGGAACAAAGGCGGGGACUAGUCCCCGGAUGAGGGUACCUGAAGAAAAAGCAUCGGCUAACUCCGUGCCAGCAGCCGCGGUAAUACGGAGGAUGCGAGCGUUAUCCGGAUUUAUUGGGUUUAAAGGGUGCGCAGGCGGUCUGUUAAGUCAGCGGUCAAAGCCCGGGGCUCAACCCCGGCCCGCCGUUGAAACUGGCAGUCUCGAGUUGGAGAGAAGUAUGCGGAAUGCGCGGUGUAGCGGGGAAAUGCAUAGAUAUCGCGCAGAACUCCGAUUGCGAAGGCAGCAUGCCGGCUCCACACUGACGCUGAGGCACGAAAGCGUGGGUAUCGAACAGGAUUAGAUACCCCGGUAGUC